rnacentral:rRNA from 1 species
GCCAGCGGCGAUAGCACGUUGAAGUACGAUACACCAGGUCCCAAUAGAUCACUAAAGUGAAGCAACUUUGAGCGUUGUUUGUAUCCGAAUGGGUGACCAUCUAGACUAUUCUAGACAAUUAUUUGCUGCUGGAC